AUCUGCUGUGGAUAUGGUUCUCUAUAAAUAAAACACUGAUUGGCCAGUGGCCAGGCAGGAAGUAGGCGGGACAAGGAGAGGAGAAUUCUGGGAAGUGGAAGGCUGAGUGAAGGAGACAAUGCCAGCCAUCGCCAUGACAAGCAGCAUGUGAAGAUGCCGUGAGAUCCUGCAUCAUUCCCCCAGGGAUGCUCUCAUUCUCCCUGGCUCACUAAGCCCAGAAGUUCCAAUUUUAAAAGAAGAAAUAAAACGUCAAAUGGAGAAGCAGAGCAAGAACAUGGUAAGUUAGAGUGUCUCAUGAGCAUCUUGGAAGACUGGUGACUGGCAAAUGCACUUGGUGGACGUCCUGUGCCACAGACUCAGACCUGGACCCAGAGAAUCCUUGUAAUUCUGAAGCAGAACUUCUAGGCAGGCUGCCACCAAGAUUCACAGGCAGCUUUCAGGAAGAUGUGGUCCUCGGUGAGCCUGGCAACAGCUAGGCAAAAGGAGAGCUCAGAAGGCUCUGAUGAAGGACAAACUAUUCAUUUUCAGGCUUCAUUUAGAGUUGGAGUAGAGAAAGGUAGGUGGCAGCCAACCAUCGCAAGUCAGAGGUUGGC